ensembl:lncRNA
CUCCUCUUACUGUUGAUGACUUUGUAAAAGAGUUUCUUGUUCCCUUUUACCCCAGCAGCCAGGUUGAGUUCAAGCUGGGCUUUUGCCUUUCUUAUUUUCUGUCUGCACAUCCUAAGAACUUCUUCGUAUUCUUUCCAGGCUGCCUGUCCCUUCUUCCAAAGGAGGUAGAUUCUCUUUUUCUCCUGGAGCCUCAAGGAUAGUUCCCUAUUCAUCCACACCGGUCUUCUUUCACACCCGCUCAUUUUGCAGCUCAGGGGGACAGCCUGCUCCUGAGCCUUUAAGACUUCCUUCUUGAAGAGCAACCAGCCAUCUUGUACCUCUUUACUCUCUAAGACUGAGCCCCAGGGGACUGUCCCUACUAGUCUCCUGAACAAUUCAAAGUCUACUCUCCAGAAGUCCAAGGUAGCAGUUUUGCUGUUCCCCCUCCUGACUCCAGCAAGAAUAGAGAACUCUACCAUGUCAUGGUCCAAGACAGCCCCGACCUCCACAUCUCCCACCAGACCUUCUCUCUUUGUGAACAGCAGGUCUAAUGGGGCAGCUCCUCUCGUAGUUUCUCUUAUCAGGUGCAUCAAGAAGUUAUCCUCCAUACAUUCCAUAAACCUCCUAGAUUGCUUCUUUUGUGCUAAACUGUAUUCCCAGCAUAUGUCGGGGAAGUUGAAGUCCCCCAUGAGGACAAGGGCCGGCGAUCAUGCAGCUUCCGCCAGCUGCUCAUAGAACAACUCAUCUGUCUCUUCAUCCUGGUUUGGUGGUCUAUAACAGAUGUCCACCAGGAUGUCUGCCUUGUCAGCUCUUCCCCUGAUCUUAACCCAUAAGGAUUCAACCUUAUUAUCUCCAAUUGUAAGUUCAGUAACCUCAAAGCACUCUUUAACAUAGAGAGCCAUCACACCACCCCUCCUUCCUUGCCUGUCCUUCCUGAAGACUUUGUAGCCAUCCAUUGCAGCACUCCAGUCAUGGGAGUGGUCCCACCACUUUUCCGUAAUGGCAACUAGGUCAUAGCUUGCCUGCCGCACAAUGGCUUCCAGCUCUUCUUGUUUGUUGCCCAUGUUGCUUGCAUUGGUACAGACAAACUUUAGCUGGGCCCCUCACCUCACCCCUAAUCCCAGUAUCACUCCCCCAGGCUCAUCUCUAUUAGGCCUGGUUUUAUCCCCUUCCCCCUUCGUACCUAGUUUAAAGACCUCUCUACAAGUCCUGCCAGCUCCUGGGCAAGGAUCCAUUUCCCCCUUUGAGACAGGUGAUACCCAUCUGUAGACCUCAGACCAGGUGCUGAGUAGACCGCCUCAUGAUCAAAAACCCGAAAUAUUUUACAUAAUAAUACUGUACUUGAAAAUAAAUACACAUUUUAUUCCCUGACAUUGAUGGGUCAAAAAUAAUGGAAUAGAUGGA